UCCCAGACUCCUACGGGAGGCAGCAGUGGGGGAUAUUGCACAAUGGGGGGAACCCUGAUGCAGCGACGCCGCGUGAAGGAAGAAGUAUUUCGGUAUGUAAACUUCUCUCAGCAGGGAAGAAAAUGACGGUACCUGACUAAGAAGCCCCGGCUAACUACGUGCCAGCAGCCGCGGUAAUACGUAGGGGGCAAGCGUUAUCCGGAAUCACUGGGUGUAAAGGGAGCGUAGACGGCUGUGCAAGCCUGAAGUGAAAGGCGGGGGCCCAACCCCCGGACUGCUUUGGGAACUGUACGGCUGGAGUGCAGGAGAGGUAAGUGGAAUUCCUAGUGUAGCGGUGAAAUGCGUAGAUAUUAGGAGGAACACCAGUGGCGAAGGCGGCUUACUGGACUGUAACUGACGUUGAGGCUCGAAAGCGUGUGGAGCAAACAGGAUUAGAUACCCUUGUA
rnacentral:rRNA from 1 species